UACGUAGGUGGCAAGCGUUGUCCGGAAUUAUUGGGCGUAAAGCGCGCGCAGGCGGUCCUUUAAGUCUGAUGUGAAAGCCCACGGCUCAACCGUGGAGGGUCAUUGGAAACUGCGGGACUUGAGUACAGAAGAGGAAAGCGGAAUUCCAAGUGUAGCGGUGAAAUGCGUAGAGAUUUGGAGGAACACCAGUGGCGAAGGCGGCUUUCUGGUCUGUAACUGACGCUGAGGCGCGAAAGCGUGGGGAGCAAACAGG
rnacentral:rRNA from 1 species